UUAAACCUCAUCGAAGAAGAAGCUAAAAUUGUCCCAGGUGAUGCAUGCCCAGAUGCUCCUCCCCUCCCCUCUCCUCCUGCCUGUCUUCCUCACCUCACCUCAGUAACGUCACCUUAGGCUUCCACCUUUUUAUUAUGACCGUGUCAGUACAUGCUCCAGGCUAGGCUACUCUGAAUGCAGCUGGAAAAUGGGGCAGUCCAGAGAGAGCAGAGUCUAUUUCCUCUGGUGUUCUAUCAAUGAAGAGUGACCAAUCCAUGAUAUACCCUAUACAUUUCAAAGGAGGGGUCUCUCUACGAAACAAAGGGCCAGGAGAGGUACCCUGUGAUAUCUGUUCUGAGGUCCAAG